rnacentral:rRNA from 1 species
GAUGAACGCUGGCGGCGUGCCUAAUACAUGCAAGUCGAGCGAACAGACGAGGAGCUUGCUCCUCUGACGUUAGCGGCGGACGGGUGAGUAACACGUGGAUAACCUACCUAUAAGACUGGGAUAACUUCGGGAAACCGGAGCUAAUACCGGAUAAUAUAUUGAACCGCAUGGUUCAAUAGUGAAAGACGGUUUUGCUGUCACUUAUAGAUGGAUCCGCGCCGCAUUAGCUAGUUGGUAAGGUAACGGCUUACCAAGGCAACGAUGCGUAGCCGACCUGAGAGGGUGAUCCGCCACACUGGAACUGAGACACGGUCCAGACUCCUACGGGAGGCAGCAGUAGGGAAUCUUACGCAAUGGGCGGAAGCUUGACGGAGCAACGCCGCGUGAGUGAUGAAGGUCUUCGGAUCGUAAAACUCUGUUAUUAGGGAAGAACAAAUGUGUAAGUAACUAUGCACGUCUUGACGGUACCUAAUCAGAAAGCCACGGCUAACUACGUG